rnacentral:lncRNA from 1 species
CUCCGUAAUUUUCAGGAUGUCUUCGACAACGUUUACAUAGUUGUCUAUCUAUAGGAUUUAAAUGCACCUGUGUUUCGGGAAAGUGAGACCUUCAGGGAUUAUGAGCUUGUCCUAGGCAUAGGCCACAAUGCCAAGCAGUUUUUGUACAACUUAAAUAUAUGUACAUGCAUAAAUAUUAUUACUAGCUAUAGUUACUACGUCAUUUUGACUACAUACUUGUACGGAGAAGAGUCCUGAAGUGCAACGGAAGUUAACAAAGAGGACUGAAACCAACCAGUAAGUUGAUCUUGUCCUUCCAAAUAUAAAUCUGCCUUUUUUUCUGGCAAAAUUGCAGACCACGAAAUGCCACUAUCAAACCAAAUAUCCAUAAUAUCCUGUAAAAAGAAUAUAUAUUCAAUAGAUGAGCAUUUAAUAAUUAUAGCUUUUGAAA